ACAAAUGGAAAUGACUGCUUCGUAGCCAGUUCUCAUUAUAUUUCUCUCCCAGGAGAUGUGAAAUUAGCACUAGGAGAAAUUCAGCAGUGGUUGGGAGUGAAGCCCAAGUCUCUGGCUGCCCCCACCAGGAGAGGGGAGCAGGGAGUCAGUGGGGCUGGCAGGAUCCUGCCCUCUCCAACAUGUCUCAGAAAGGCACAGAAGAAGAAGAAGAGGAAACUACUUGAACAGUACAGAGUUCAUGCAUCAUGGAUCCCUCCAGAGAGGUGCUGGCCAUGGGUCACGCUGACUGUUCUUGGAUUCCUGUACUGCUAUUCUCAUGUUGGAAUUGAAUGGGAGGAGAAUUAUGCUGCACAUUAGGAAUGAUGCAAACAAUUAUUCUUAAGGUAGGAAUUAACAGCAAAACUCAUACUUUCCCUCAUCCUUCAUCCAUCUGAAGAGAAACAUCUUCAAGAAAACCUCUACAAGUGAGCAAAGCUUAAAAAGAGCCAAAACAUCUUCAAGGUUUCUCAGACACUCCUGCCUUCAUAAGUACUUAAAGUGGGGCUGCAGGGAGAAAGCUUCGGAAUUGGUAAUGAUGGAUGGAGCUGCCAAAGUUAAGCUUGUUUUAAAUCUGCACCUGUGCCAUGGGGCAACUUAAAUUUGAAUUUGGUUGUGCUAUGUAAGGACUUGAACUUAAUUAGGAAAGGGGAAGCAGGAAUGGAAAAGUAAAGGAAAAAAAAAAGCAAAAAGACAAGGCUUGAGCGCAUGUAUUUAACAGAUACAGCUGUGCACGAGCAUCUUGAUAGCUACUUCUGACAGACU
rnacentral:lncRNA from 1 species